UCUGUCAGCAUCCUCCUUGCUCCUCAACGGGAGAAGAUUUGUCUUGGACACCAUGAUGGACCUAUAAGAAGAAGAUACAGCAGUGUCCUCAGAACCCUUCCUAAAAAGGCAAUCAAAAGCCCCGUCAAAAGCCCAACUCAGCUGGAAUGGAAAUGGAAAUGCAAAGGUCAGUUUUAGGACAGUUAGGCUGUUCCCCUUCUAGUGGAUGCUAGUGCAAAGCGAGUUCUUUAAAUUAUAUGGAUGAGUUUGAAAUGUCAUACGGUAGAUUGAGCACGAAGGAGAAGUGUUCAGAUACUGUGGAAGCUGAUAGCUAGCCUGUGUUGAAUGUUCAUUCCUCUAGACUGCCCAGCCGGAGGACAGACCACGUUUCCCCCACAGUCUCCUGGAAAGGGACCCACACAGUAGUAGGACCCUUGCCACAGAAGAAGUAAUUGGGGCAAGUUUGCAAUAAUAGGCUCAAGUAUCAUGUCUCAGACUCCUGUUCACACCCUGUCUGCUAGAGGAUUUUUCACUGCCCCCUUGCUUCCUAUAUGUUUCUCCCCCUUUAGCAUUCUUGUUAUCUAAUCUCCUUUUGUUUCUUUUUUAAAGGAACAUUUAUUUUAUGUGUUUU
rnacentral:lncRNA from 1 species